rnacentral:rRNA from 1 species
GAUGAACGCUGGCGGCGUGCCUAAUACAUGCAAGUCGAGCGAACAGACGAGGAGCUUGCUCCUCUGACGUUAGCGGCGGACGGGUGAGUAACACGUGGAUAACCUACCUAUAAUACUUGGAUAACUUCGGGAAACCGGAGCUAAUACCGGAUAAUAUAUUGAACCGCAUGGUUCAAUAGUGAAUGACGGUUUUGCUGUCACUUUUAGAUGGAUCCGCGCCGCAUUAGCUAGUUGGUAAGGUAACGGCUUACCAAGGCAACGAUGCGUAGCCGACCUGAGAGGGUGAUCGGCCACACUGGAACUGUGACACGGUCCAGACUCCUACGGGAGGCAGCAGUAGGGAAUAUUCCGCAAUGGGCGAAAGCCUGACGGAGCAACGCCGCGUGAGUGAUGAAGGUCUUCGGAUCGUAAAACUCUGUUAUUAGGGAAGAACAAAUGUGUAAGUAAAUAUGCACGUCUUGACGGUACCUAAUCAGAAAGCAACGGCUAACUACGUG